AAACUAACACCUUGUUCAAAUCUGCUCUUUAACAGGAAAAAGUAGUGACCCAAACCAAACUUGGGAUACUUUAGUAAUGUUUGUCAUGGAGAGCUCCAGAGUGGAGCAUCGCACCAGUCUGCUCAUCAAUGUGCCAAUGCCAGCCGAGUUAGCAGAACACAGACCGAUACAGCGGACGCACGCGCUGCACACAUUCAAACGCUUUACCAAGCCGGGGGGAACUUGAAGGCCUUUUUAUAAGAGCUUCACUGAGCCUAGGGGAGUGGUCACUGCACAACUGAGCCAUUGGAAACAUCAUUAACCCUUAUCACACCUGCACCAGCUCACACAGUUCUUUGGAUGAUGAGAGCAAAUGGCCUGUCUAGAAAUGAGCCACAAAAAUGCUUUAUUGGGUUGCAAAGGGACAGUUUCGUUUGAAUAUAGAGCACUGUCCAAUGAGAGGUAUAUAAAGUAGUGCAAAAGUAAAAGUUAAAAUAUUUUAAUUUUCAUUUAUUUCCCAGCCUCUUCUCUGUGGACUUUGCAUGUUCUUCCCAUGCCUCCAUGAGUUUUCUCCAGUAACUCUGGUUUUCUCCCACAUCACCAAAAUGCGUGGUAGGUUGAAUGAAGACUAAAUUCCCUUCGGUGUGAAUGUGAGUGCAAAUGGUUGUUUGUCCAUAUAUGCCUUGUGAUUGGCCGGCGACCAGUUCAGGGUGUAUCCCGCAUCUUGCCCGAAGACAGCUGGGAUAGGCUCCAGUACGCACGGAACCCCAGUGAGGAUCAGCGGAACAGAAAAUGCAUGGAUGGAUUUAAAUCAUAGGUUACCGCUUCGGGUGGCAUGGUAGAUCAUUGUUUGGAGUGUCUACCUCACGUUUCUAAGGACCAGGGUUCAAAUCCCGGCCCCGCCUGUGUUGAUUUAAGAACCUAAAUUGCCCAUAGAGUUGAAUGUGAGUGUGAAAGGUUGUUUAUAUGUGCCCUGUGAUUGGCUGGCAAAGAGUUCAGGGUGUACCCUGCCUCCUGCACAAAGAUGGCUGGGAUAGGCGCCAGCACAGAUAUGACUCUUGUGAGGAGUGGGAGUGCUCUGAUGGCUCAGAAAAUGGAUCGAUGGAUGUAUGUUGGGCUUCCGUCUGUCAACAAUUCUGUUCAUUAUCUUCAUGGACAGAAUUUCUUGACACCACCGAAACAUUGUGGGGGUCCAAUUUGGUGACAUAAGUGUUGCAUCUCUACUAUUAGCACAUGAUAUGGUUCUCUUGGCUUCAUCAAACUGACCUUCAACUCUCACUGCAGUGGUUCACAGUCAAGUGUGAACCAGCUGAGAUAAAAAUUUGUACCUCCAUGUCUGAAGUUGGAAAAGGGAGGGAUGCCCACUCUGGAUUGAGAAGAAGAUCCUGCCACAAGUGGAAAAGAUUAACUAUCUAAGGGUCUUGUUCACAGCUUAGAAUGGAGUGGGAGAUCAACAAGCAGAUCAGUGCAGCAUCUUCAGUGAUGCCAACUUUGUAUUGGUCAAUUGUGGUGAAGGAGCUGAGUCGAAAGACAAUUUUCUCAAUUUACCAGUCACUCUGUGGGUAUUGAGUGAAAGAACCAAUCGCCAAUUCUCUGAAUCUUUUCUUGGAGUUUCUCGUCGGCAAUCUCAACGGAGCAUUGUGUCAAGGAUGGCGCAGAGGCUCGUGAUCUGGUACACAAGUUCAACUCCGCAGGAGGGGAAACAGACUUGCGCUUCAAUCGAUUCAUCUCACGAUUCUAAACACCCAAGCCAACAAUGUGGAUGAACUUCAUCUUCUGAUCAAGACCUGUAAACACUUCGGAUGUUUUGCCGGCAUGUGCUUCACGGAGACUUGGCUUUGUUGACGCAUUCCUGACUGAGCCGUUAUGCUACCCGCCUUUCAUCUUUAUCAGGUGGACCGCAUAACGGAGGUAGUGCAGAAACGAAAGGCGGUGGAAAUGCUUCUAUAUCAAUGAGAAAUGAUGCACAGACAUUACACAACCCAGCACACACUGCAACCCACUUUUGGAGAUGUUGUUCUUGAACUGUAAGCCGUUUUACUCACCGCGUAGAUUUGCCUCUUUCAUUCUCGCAGGUGUUUGGUUACCUCCCCAAGCUAGCAUGAAUGCAGCACUGCUAACGUACACUGAACAGGUAAACGAGAUUGAGAAAAAACAAUGAGAUUAUCAUCAUCUUGGAUUUUAACACAGCUAAACUUAACCACAAACUCUCUAAAUAUAAGCAGCACGUAUGAUGUUCGACGAGUGGGAAAAAACACUGUAGAACACAGCUAUACUACAAUUAAACAUAUAUUCCGCAAUUCCCCGCACUGGUCUAUAACGAUGAACCCUGAACAGGUAAGGGCACUCUGUAUAAGCUUAACAUAAGAUACGUUGUUGAUGCACUCUAACUGCUCAAAAUGCUAGAAGACUGCAUCUUUGCACAACAGUGACUCUUAUAAGGGAAUAGUUUCGUAUUAAUUGAAUGUCUAUUUUUUUUUCUUACUUCUUAGUUAGUUUGUUGUUCUUCUCAGUACUCAACACGAAUCUUGUACCAGGGCAGCACCAACUGUCAGAGACAAAUUCCUUGUGUGUUGUUACAUACUUGGCCAUUAAAUAUGAUUCUGAUUCUGAAUAACCAAAAGGUAAUUGAUACAAGCAACCAAAAUGAUUUUUCUCUGUAGGGUGUCUAGGCUAUCCCUUUGAGAUAAGGUGAGAAGCUUGGUCAUCUGAGAGAGCCUCGGAGUUGAUCCGCUGCUGCCCUCACGACCUGACCACAGAUAAGAGGAUUACAAUGGAUUCAUGGAUGUUAAUCAGAUGUUAUUACAUUUGGAUAAUUAAAAUAUAGAAGUUACUUUUCCAUACAUUUUUUGGCAUUGUACACUGACAAUGCUUCAAUGAUUUACAGUACAAUAGCAUUAUUUGCAUGCAACCCCAUUGCUGGUUUGAUUUUCACAAAUUCAUCUAUUGUCAUACUUUUCUAUGAAGACUAUCCUUAGGUAUUUGCCAAUUAACUGACCUUUAGGCAUGUUUGUGCUCUUUCUUUAACACCUUAGAUGCCUUAAAAUGGUGCCAACCUCCUGGUAAAAAUGGGGAGAAGCCCCACCCACCACCUUGGCAUGUGGAAAUGGAAAAGCUCAAACUACAAUUUUUACAGGCUGGAUGUGCAGAAACAGUCCGCAUGGCAGAAGAAGUGAUUAGGUAGAUGUUUGGCUGGUGGGUGUUGGACAGUGCUGCUGGAUCUGCAUAAAGCGCUGGAAAUUCUACAGACGGCGAGGGAGCAAUGACAGCAGCCAUUGAAUGUGCUGCUGACGAGCUUAGAUGCUGGUGGCGUGUAUGAAAGAAUUGUGCUGAACUCACUGAGACUUUUGUGCUGCUACCAAAACUGUUUGCCGGCAGCUGAACUUUCUACCGCUUUCUCCAUGAUGUUAAAAUUUUGGUUUUGUUUUAGCAAGCUUUGUUCCCAUCUGACUGUACAACUGCAGUACCCUCCAGAUCAACCUCGACCAAACAAUGGCCAGUACAUAUGACUCAAUCUCUAUUUUAAAAUGAAUAAGAAUAAUCAUAAAUUUUCUUUUUCCAGAUACAUUGCAUCACUGAUUUUUUUCUGACUAAUA